CAUCAGAGCUGGUCCCUCCGCAAACCCAGGAAGAAAGGAGGAAGGGGUCAGAGAUUGGAGAGGUGACGUGAAAACCCCAGUCUGCAGACUGGCUCAGGAGCCUCCCUGGAGACCUGGGCGCUCUGCGCCAUCGUCUUCAAUGACUCUCUGAAGAACCUUUAGCGAGAGUGUGAGAGAAAGAGGGGAGCGCGCACCAGGGAGAGUAGCAAAGAAGAUGAGGAGUAUUUGCAGUCAGAUUGUCUUGUUGUUUUCUGGAUUUUGGGGACUCGCCAUGGGAGCCUUUCCAAGCAGCGUCCAAAUAGGUGGUCUCUUCAUCAGAAACACAGACCAGGAAUACACUGCUUUCAGAUUGGCAAUCUUUCUUCAUAACACCAGCCCCAACGCCUCCGAAGCCCCUUUCAAUCUGGUACCUCAUGUGGACAACAUUGAGACAGCCAACAGUUUUGCUGUGACAAAUGCCUUCUGUUCCCAGUAUUCUAGAGGAGUGUUUGCCAUUUUUGGACUCUAUGACAAGAGGUCAGUGCACACCUUGACCUCAUUCUGCAGUGCCCUACACAUCUCCCUCAUCACACCCAGCUUCCCCACUGAAGGGGAGAGCCAGUUCGUACUGCAGCUAAGGCCUUCCUUGAGAGGUGCACUCCUGAGCCUGCUGGAUCACUAUGAAUGGAACUGUUUCGUCUUCCUGUAUGACACAGACAGGGGAUAUUCAAUACUUCAAGCUAUUAUGGAAAAAGCAGGACAGAAUGGAUGGCAUGUCAGUGCAAUAUGUGUGGAAAAUUUUAACGAUGUCAGCUACAGGCAACUGCUAGAAGAGCUUGACAGAAGACAAGAGAAGAAAUUUGUAAUAGAUUGUGAGAUAGAAAGGCUUCAGAACAUUCUAGAACAAAUUGUGAGUGUUGGGAAGCAUGUCAAAGGCUACCAUUAUAUCAUCGCAAAUUUGGGUUUCAAGGACAUUUCUCUUGAGAGAUUUAUACACGGCGGAGCAAAUGUCACUGGAUUCCAAUUGGUAGAUUUUAAUACGCCUAUGGUAACCAAACUAAUGGAUCGAUGGAAGAAACUAGAUCAGAGAGAAUAUCCAGGAUCUGAAACGCCUCCAAAGUACACCUCUGCUCUGACUUACGAUGGAGUUCUGGUGAUGGCUGAAACUUUCCGAAGUCUCAGAAGACAGAAAAUUGAUAUUUCGAGGAGAGGAAAUGCUGGGGAUUGUCUGGCAAACCCUGCUGCUCCCUGGGGCCAGGGAAUUGACAUGGAGAGAACCCUGAAACAGGUUCGAAUUCAAGGGCUGACUGGGAAUGUUCAAUUUGACCACUAUGGACGUAGAGUUAAUUAUACAAUGGAUGUAUUUGAACUAAAAAGCACAGGACCUCGAAAGGUGGGCUACUGGAAUGACAUGGAUAAAUUAGUGUUGAUUCAAGACGUGCCUACUCUCGGCAAUGACACUGCAGCUAUCGAGAACAGAACAGUGGUUGUAACCACUAUUAUGGAAUCCCCCUAUGUUAUGUACAAGAAAAAUCACGAAAUGUUUGAAGGAAAUGACAAGUAUGAAGGCUACUGUGUAGAUUUGGCAUCCGAAAUUGCAAAACAUAUCGGUAUCAAGUACAAAAUUGCCAUUGUCCCUGAUGGAAAAUAUGGAGCCAGGGACGCAGACACUAAAAUCUGGAAUGGAAUGGUAGGAGAGCUUGUGUAUGGGAAAGCGGAAAUUGCUAUUGCACCUCUGACAAUCACCUUGGUACGUGAGGAGGUCAUUGACUUCUCCAAGCCUUUCAUGAGUUUAGGCAUCUCUAUCAUGAUCAAAAAGCCUCAGAAAUCCAAACCAGGCGUGUUCUCCUUCUUGGACCCUCUGGCCUAUGAGAUCUGGAUGUGCAUAGUGUUUGCAUACAUUGGUGUCAGUGUGGUCUUGUUCCUAGUCAGCAGGUUUAGCCCAUAUGAGUGGCACACGGAAGAGCCCGAGGAUGGAAAGGAGGGUCCCAGCGACCAGCCUCCCAAUGAGUUUGGCAUCUUUAACAGUCUCUGGUUUUCCCUGGGGGCCUUUAUGCAGCAAGGAUGUGACAUUUCACCCAGAUCCCUGUCAGGUCGGAUCGUUGGAGGCGUCUGGUGGUUCUUCACACUCAUCAUUAUUUCGUCUUACACUGCUAAUCUGGCUGCUUUCCUGACGGUGGAGAGAAUGGUCUCCCCCAUAGAAAGUGCAGAAGACCUGGCCAAACAAACAGAAAUUGCAUAUGGUACACUGGAUUCGGGGUCAACAAAAGAAUUCUUCCGAAGAUCAAAAAUAGCAGUGUAUGAAAAGAUGUGGACCUACAUGCGAUCAGCAGAGCCGUCUGUGUUCACUAGGACUACAGCUGAGGGCGUGGCUCGUGUCCGCAAGUCCAAGGGCAAAUUUGCCUUUCUCCUGGAGUCCACGAUGAAUGAAUACAUUGAGCAGCGAAAGCCCUGUGACACGAUGAAAGUGGGAGGAAACCUGGAUUCCAAAGGCUAUGGUGUAGCAACACCCAAGGGUUCCUCAUUAAGGUGGGUGGAAUAGUAUAACAAUAGAUCAUGCAUUGUUAUAGUAUUCCACCUUCCCUGAUGUCCCUGAAAAAAAUUAUUUUACUUUGUGUGUGAAUAGUAUGUUUGUUGGUUUAUUUUCCUUUUCUCCAUUUCAUACUUUUGAUCAACAGUCAGGCAAAAGUUAUUUUUUUGUUUUAAUUCUGAAAUGAUCAUAUUUGACAUUAAUCUUUGAAGGCCAUAUAAAAACCAACGUGGUUGAACACUAGCUGCUUGAAGUGGGCCUAAAUAAUGGGUUUUAUAUUUUUCUAGAUCUCAUCAACUUUUUCUGUUGUUUUGCCCACAAUUGAUGCUGCCUGCUACCAUUGUGUCAGGAGUGACUCUACAUUUUAUUGCUAUGUUUAAAUCUUAUGUCUGGCUGCUAGACUCUCAGCAAGAAGAAAUCCACUCUUUCCAACAGAGAGAUUUCCUUUUUCCAUUUCAGUGUUUUGUUUGAUAUGGCAUCAUUCUAUUUCAGACUAUGGAGAGGUUGGACUGGUACUGUUUGAAAUCAUGUCCUUUUAUAAAGCCAACCAGACCUAGAGGAAGUGUAGGCUCUGGCUUUAUGGUGCUUACUCAGGUCAUACUCCCAUAUAUUUUUAAGGGAGUGUGGUAUAAGUAAGAUCUGUAAAGUUAGAAAAAGUAUGACUCAAAAAUGUUUGUAGAUAGACUCUUCUAAGGGGCUCAUAAGAAAAGCAUUACAAGAAUGGGUUAAAAUGGUCGAAUCUGCCCUUUGCAUCCUUUCGGUUCCCAGUAUAGAAAAUUCAUGUUUACACCCAGAAAGCAGAAUUUCCUAUUUUCCUUAAGUAAUAAAGGCUGCUUUGGACCUACUGGGGCUAAAGCCCACCGCAAGUGAUAACUGACAAAUCACUCUGGUCUCAGUGCUGCUUAGGAGAGAAGCACAAAGCACAGAUUCAAGAGGAAAUCACAGGCCUUGCUAAAGGGCUUAACCAAGAACCUGUCUUGAGAAGUGAUGUCUCUGAUCCAAACCCUCUGGCACACUCUAUAGAUGGUUGCUGGCUUCCAACUGAGAUUUUUCCGUGUGAUUUGUAAGUUGCUCAUUCUGGGGACAAAUGGUAGACAUCUGAGCACUGAAUGCAAAGUGGAAAAGUUGCUAAAUUUAGUGUUUAGUUCUUUUUUCAUUUUUAUCUUUAUACUUAUAAGAUAUUUUAGGGACUUUGGGGGAAAGUGGGCAUUUUGUGAUUAUUUUAGUUUCUACUACCUCAAAAUGAUAUAUUUAAUAAAAUGAAAUUUCUACAGUAGAAAUUAUUGGGUCUAAGUUUUGCAGCCUGAUUUGAUAAGAAAAUCAAGACUAGACCCCAGUUCUGGUAUUCAAGGAAAUUUCAAACCAUCGCUCUUUUAAUUCAUGCACUUGCUCAAUAGAAACUAAAAAUUAAAAUCAGCCAUUGUUUUGUAUAUACCUCUGGUGCCAGAAUUUGGGAGAUGGAAAUAGGAGGAUCAAGAAUCCAAAGUUAUUCUCAGAAAAUAGGGACCUUGAGACCAGCCUGGGAUACACGAGACCCAUCUUAUAAAUAAAUCAGUAAUAAUAAAUGAGAGUAGAUUUUUAAGUACACAAAAGAGAAAAGCUCAUAAAUAAAUCAGUGAUAAUAGAUUUUUAAGCAUGUAGAAGGCAAAAGCAAAUGCAUGGUGGCUUCUGUACGUAUGAACCAUCUCUUUCUACCAUGGUGGAAAGCAGCUAGAUAUGAAUUCCCUCUUACAAAUCUUCACAAUGGGACUGAAAUGAAAUCAUUUCCUCAGACGUUUCUGUGAAGUGAAGAACUAGAAGUAGGCAUAAUACAGAUACUCACAUGAGAAAGUAGGAACCAGCUAGACAAAGUGCAGUAUCAGAAAGGGUCUCCUAACAGAAAGGAAGAUUGAGAAAUACAGAAAUUCAACGUCCUUGGAGGCAGACAAAUGAGCAGCAGAUACCAGUAGUCCUGGACCUGUUGUUUCUGAUUUUGUGUUGAACUGGACUUGUUAACAUGAGCAGAAUAUACGGACAUGUUGCUCUCAUUUAAGUCUUAUCUGCAAGACAAACACCCUGCACCAGAGAAUUUGGCCACCUGAAGCUUUCAACAUCCAUAAGUGUACUUGGCCAGAGUGAGUCAGUGUCCAGGCAUAAAGAUGACUCUACUCCCAACACAGGAAGAGCAACUUUGGCAUCAUUACAAGGAGGUAUUAAUAAAACUUAAUGUAUGCGUAGGGUUAGUGUGUGAGAACAUUGUAUUCUUGCACUUUGAAAUGCACAAAACAGAUUUGAGUGACGCAUAGUCAUCCCUCCAUUUUUUCCUUUAAUAUUGAAUUUGCCUGUACACCAAGGUUUCAAUUUUCCAGUGUCAGGUUUUGCUUGUUAUUCUCUAGAACACAGAUUUGCACAAUAACUAUGAAGUAGUUCUUAAAGUGUUUUUUUAAAAAUGGCUCCUCAAUGAAAAGAAAAUGUCAGGAAAACUUCCUGACAACAUCUUAGUGCAUAGGACUGUGACUUCUAUAGAUGACAAGCUUUUGGCCUUUACAAUCAGACAUGUGCUUGAGCUCUUUGUACAGCCUCAGAGCAUCAUCAAAGGUCAAGUAGCAAGUUUUAUGGCAGUGUUUGCAGAUGCAGUUCUUCAUACAUCUUCCUAAAUGAAAGCAUGCAGGGUAGGGGCGGUCUGGGCCCUUCAGUUCAGACUGCUCAGGAUCACAGUUCUUAAGUAGCUCUUAUAAGUAUGGAGAAAGUAGAAAAGCCUAACUAUUCUGCAAUAGAUCCCUGCCCCUUAUGGUUCCAGAACACUCUUACCUGAUAGAAUAAAGACAAAUUAGGGAGAAACUGGAAAAGUGAAGGUUGAAUAAGUCUCUUUAUAUGGGCAAUAAUUAAGAAGACAGAGAAUAUCUUCUAUCACAUAUAUACAUACAAAUUAAAGCUUUGGAGAGAUACAUAGUAAAGUGCACAUUAAUAUAAGAUGCUCAGUUGUUAAAGGCUAGGCUCACAAUCAAAAAUAUAAGAUGACUUUACCCUUUAUGCAGUGGUUCUCAACCUUCCUAAUACUCUGUCCCUUUAAUACAGAUCCUCACGAUGUGGUGACCACACAAUAAAGUUAUUUUCAAGGCUACUUUAUAACUGUGAUUCCAUGAACGUUGUGAAACAUAAUGUAAAUAUCUGUGUUUUCUGAUUGUCUUAAGAGACCCCUGUGAAAGGGACAUUCCACCUCCAAAGGGGUUGUGACCCACAGGUUGAAAACAGCUGCCUUAAAACUUACCAUAUUAUGAAAAUGUAAUACACUCCUCAGUGUAGCAUUCUCUGCAAUGAUGUGUUAAUCCAGUUUUAUGCUGAUAAUAAUCAUUUACUUAUGAUAUCA